CAGGCAGUCAGGUAUUGAUCUGAGCUUUGCUCAGGGAGUCUAUCUCUGUAGGACACUCAAAUGAAAGGAGACUAAUGCAACAGUUGGCUGAUAAACUAUCACGUGGCUUGUGUGUGGUAAUAUGAGCUCCUUGAUUGCAUUUUAAUGAUCUGAGCUAAUGUAAUCACUUAGGAUUCCCACGAACUCUGCCACCAGGCAUACAUCACCCAUGCAGAAUAGAAUGAGGUAUGCUAUCAGUUGGCACAUGCAGUCUUUUCCUUCACCUUAGAGGUCAUCACUGCAGUUUAUACAGUGACAUCACAGAAUGAAGACUACGCUUACAAGUCCACAAAUAAAUAAAUUCAUUUUUAAAGGGUAUUAAAGAGCUUGUAUCAUAGUAACUAUAAUAAAUGAUUCCUCAUCCAUU